GACGAACGCUGGCGGCGUGCUUAACACAUGCAAGUCGAACGGUAAGGCCCUUCGGGGUACACGAGUGGCGAACGGGUGAGUAACACGUGGGUGAUCUGCCCUGCACUUCGGGAUAAGCCUGGGAAACUGGGUCUAAUACCGGAUAGGACCACUGCCUGCAUGGGUGGUGGUGGAAAGCUUUUGCGGUGUGGGAUGGGCCCGCGGACUAUCAGCUUGUUGGUGGGGUGAUGGCCUACCAAGGCGACGACGGGUAGCCGGCCUGAGAGGGUGACCGGCCGCACGGGGGCGGAGAUACGGAGCAGACGCGUACGGGAGGCAGCAGUGUGGGAUAUUGCACAGUGGGCGCAAGCCUGAUGCAGCGACGCAGCGUGAGGGAUGGCGGCGUUCGGGUUGUAACCCUCUUUCAGCAGCGACGAAGCGCAAGUGACGGUAGGUGCAGAAGAAGGACCGGCCAACUACGUGCCAGCCGCCGCCGUAA
rnacentral:rRNA from 1 species